GUUUUCUUCAAGCGAGAAUGGAAGAAGAACUGGCCUUUUGUCGUUGGAUUCGCUAUCACCGGAACUAUAAUCACCAAGUUUUCCCUUGGUUUAACUGAGGAGGAUGCUAAAAACUCGAAAUUCGUUCAAGCUCACAAGAGGUGAUCUCUGAAGGGAAGAAUGACCUUGGUUAUGCAAGCUGUUAUUGAUGUAACAAGAGAUCUUUGCUUGCUUUAGUUUUUCAAAUUGAAAUAACCGAAGGGAGAUAAUUUACAUACUCUCUUCAUGUUCCAUUUUAUCAAAUUUGAUUUUACUUAAAUGUGACUGAUAAAUUCAUAUACUCUGCAGUUCCGAAUGAUUAGAUUCGUGUGUUUUAUCAUGAGUUUUCUUUUA